rnacentral:rRNA from 1 species
UACAGAGACUGCAAGCGUUAUUCGGAUUCACUGGGCGUAAAGGGUGCGCAGGCGGCCGGGUGUGUCAGAUGUGAAAUCCCGAGGCUCAACCUCGGAACUGCGUCUGAAACUACUCGGCUAGAGUAUUGGAGAGGGUAACGGAAUUCACGGUGUAGCAGUGAAAUGCGUAGAUAUCGUGAGGAACACCAGAGGCGAAGGCGGUUACCUGGACAAUUACUGACGCUCAGGCACGAAAGCAUGGGGAGCAAAAGGGAUUAGAAACCCCCGUAGUCC